CCUGAGCCUGAAAAUAGAAACAAAAUACACACAAAUGGAGCAUUCCUCUCCAUGACUUUUGGUUCAGGGAAGCUCUUUCCCUUUUAUUCUGAAGGUGUUCUAUGUAUGCUUGUGUGUGUUCGGGUUUUAAAAGGUAUGCAGAGGACUUGCAAAUUUAAAUAGAUACAUAUUUGAAAUCUCAUUUCUAUUUGAGCCCCGGUGGCUCAGAUGGUAAAGCGUCUGCCUACAAUGCGGGAGACCCAGGUUUGAUCCCUGGGUUGGGAAGAUAACCUGGAGAAGGAAAUGGCAACCCACUCCAGUACUCUUGCCUGGAAAAUCCCAUGGAUGGAGGAGCCUGGUAGGUUACAGUCCAUGGGGUCGCAAAGAGUCCGACAUGACUGAGUGACUUCGCUUUCUUUCUUUCUUUCUAUUUGAGCACUAUUUUAGUCUUAAUUUCUAAACUUUCCUUUGAAAGUGCAAUAUUUUUAAAGUAUAAGAAGGGGGGAAAGCCCUGCCAAUCUAGAAUUGUUUACCCAGCAAAGCUAUCUUUCAAAAACCAGAGGUGAGAUAAAAUUGUAUUCAUAUGAUUGCAAGGUUCUUACCCUCUACAGAAAAUGAUGUAUCACUUGAAGGUAGAAUGUGAUAAGUAUAUAAAUCCUAAAGCAACCACUAGAAUAACACAUGGAGAUAUAGUUAAAAAGCCAAUAGAGGAGAUAAAAUGGCUAGCAUACACAUGCCCCACAGCCCCUGGCUACACACUAGUUGUGGUCUUAGUGAAAAGAUAGCAACUGAACUGUUCCCUCUGAAGGAACAGACAAGCUGGCCUGUCCUUUCCUGUGUCCUGUAGGUGAUUCCCUGCAGUCAUCGAGAGGCUGUGUAUGUGAGGGUGGUGAAGUGCCACUGUUUCCAGAGACAGCAACCCAGGUCUGCUUGCAUGAGUCACUGCUCUCCACUCGACUUGCUUGGCUAGAACAGGGUUGCACACCAGAGGGUGCAGAGCCUCCCAGAACCACGCAGGACAUCCUAUGUCAUUAUCCAAAUGAGCACUGAGCAUUAAUUGGUCAUUGUCUCCUUUGUUUGAUUGCUCUUCAUGGAUACAUCUGUUGACAUGCUCCACAAAUUUAGUGUAACCCUCACACACUAGAAAUGGUGACAGAGAGGAGAGAUCUUUCUGGUUAUAAAGAUGAGAGGUGUGUACACUUGUUAACUUGGAAGAAUUUCUUAAAUUACUGCCCAUAACCAUAGAUGGUGGCAGCACCACAUGCAGGGAAAAUUAAAAUACAUUGCAUCCUCUAGGAUUGGCAUUUUUCUGGGGAAAUAGAUUUUGCUUUCAAAAAACACACAAGCAAAGGUCAUUAUGAUGUGUCCAUGUAGGUUCAUGAAUAGUAACAGAGUACCCUCUGGUGGGGCAUGUUGCUGGUGGGAGAGGCUGUGUGUAGUGGGGUUGUGCUGUGAACCUAAAACCACCCUAAAAAUCAAAGUUUAUUUUUAAAAAUUAAUAAUAAAAAAGUAGACAAGGCACGUACUUUCUCAGUGCACUUCUUCCCAGGCGAUGUUCUUCUGAUUCUCGGUAGUAAGUCUGUUUGCCAAUUUCCCUUUCCCAGAAGCGUUUGAGCUCGUGACAGGUGUUCCGGCAGAAGACCUCCCGGCGGACGUACUGAUUGUUCAUCCCCUGAAAAAGAAAAUAUUGACUGAACCCCCACAGAACAUGCUCCCUUAUACUCUGGAAGUGUCUGUUGACCUUCACUGACCUUGGAGUGACUUGGGGAACUUAACAAAAAAUGGAUGCCAGGGAUUCCUCUUUAAGGAGUCUAAUUUCAUCAGCCUUGAAAAUGUACUAGGUGUCAGGAUUUUUAAGUUCCUCCUGUGAUUCUAAAGUGCAAGCCAAGGAUUUCAUCUUAUCAGAGCCUUGUUAAAUGAACACUGGAAUGGAUUUCUGGUUCUCUCACAGAGCUGUUUUGAAUGCAUUACUUAAAUAUAUAAACUACACAUGGAAAAGUCCUGUGGAGAUUUCUAAGCAGUGGAAUUCCACCAUUCCCAAACAGGUGUAAGGUGAGAGUUCAGAGGGAAAGAUGAACCCCAGUGACUGAAAAAGACAGGGUUACAGGAACUCUCUCCAUUCACUUCCCCUCGAGAAGUGCAAGAUGAACUUCCAUCCCACGUACACUCAAGUUCAACAUCAUUUACCUUUGUGAUGAAUCUGCUGCUAUCUUGAUACAGUGUCAAGGAGGAACCAGAUCGUGCAGUGGAGGUUUUCUCAUCAGGGGAAGAAGGCGCUACCCCUCAAAGCAUCACCUAUUCAAAACAAUAGCAACAGCAACGCUGAUAUCACUGGACUGUAUGUAAAGGUGUCUGGUACUGUUCUAAGCUUUAUAGGUACAAACACAGUAUGCUACACCUAAGACUGGGGACUAUCGUCACUCCCACUUCAUAGAUAAGACCGUGGCACAAAAGGUUUUUUUGGAUAUUAUACCCAAAGCUUCUAUGAACAUCCAUAUACAGGCUUUUUGAGAACAGACAAAAAUCCUUCUCUGGAAUAAAUACCCAAGAGUUCAAUUGCUGGGUCAUAUGACAUGAAAACCAAGUCUGGGAAAGACUGAACAACAAGCCUAUGAUCUCACAGCUGGAAGUGGCACAGCUGAGGCUCAAACCUAAGUCAGUCUGAUCUCAAAGUCUGCAAGUGCUGUUGAAGCUGGCACACAAAUGUGAAACUUUUAUCUACUGCUGAAAUAGCCCAACUCAUCUGAGGACUUAAUGAAGCUCAGGUUCUUUAUGUCUUGGUGCAGAAGGAAUUCGGUAAGAGGCAAAGUGAUAGGUAA